ensembl:rRNA 5S_rRNA 5S ribosomal RNA
GCUUAUAGCCAUUACACCCUUAGCACGCCCAAUCGCGUCUGAUCUCGGAAGCUAAGCAGGGUUGGGCUUGGUUAGUAUUUGGAUGGGAGAUCUCCUGGGACUACCAGGUGCUGGAAGCU